UACGAUGGGGGCUAGCGUUGUUCGGAAUCACUGGGCGUAAAGCGCACGUAGGCGGACUCUUAAGUUAGAGGUGAAAGCCUGAGGCUCGACCUCAGAAUUGCCUUUGAUACUGGGAGUCUUGAGUAUGGUAGAGGUUGGUGGAACAGCAAGUGUAGAGGUGAAAUUCGUAGAUAUUUGCUAGAACACCGGUGGCGAAGGCGGCCAACUGGACCAUAACUGACGCUGAGGUGCGAAAGCGUGGGGAGCAAACAGG
rnacentral:rRNA from 1 species